rnacentral:rRNA from 1 species
CCCUUAGAUGUUCUGGGCUGCACGCGCGCUACACUGACACUAUCAACGAGUGCUCCUGGUUUGAAAGGAUCGGGUAAUCUUUUGAAAUGGUGUCGUGAUGGGGAUAGAUCAUUGCAAUUAUUGAUCUUGAACGAGGAAUUCCUAGUAAAUGUGAGUCAUCAGCUCACGUUGAUUACGUCCCUGCCCUUUGUACACACCGCCCGUCGCUCCUACCGAUUGAGUGAACCGAUGAGUAGUCCGGAUUGCGAUCGACCUCGGUUAAUCGCGAGAAGUUCCGCAAAUCACUUCACUGAGAGGAAGGAGAAGUCGUAACA